AUUGAACGCUGGCGGCAUGCCUUACACAUGCAAGUCGAACGGCAGCACGGGUGCUUGCACCUGGUGGCGAGUGGCGAACGGGUGAGUAAUACAUCGGAACAUGUCCUGUAGUGGGGGAUAGCCCGGCGAAAGCCGGAUUAAUACCGCAUACGAUCUACGGAUGAAAGCGGGGGACCUUCGGGCCUCGCGCUAUAGGGUUGGCCGAUGGCUGAUUAGCUAGUUGGUGGGGUAAAGGCCUACCAAGGCGACGAUCAGUAGCUGGUCUGAGAGGACGACCAGCCACACUGGGACUGAGACACGGCCCAGACUCCUACGGGAGGCAGCAGUGGGGAAUUUUGGACAAUGGGCGAAAGCCUGAUCCAGCAAUGCCGCGUAUGUGAAGAAGGCCUUCGGGUUGUAAAGCACUUUUGUCCGGAAAGAAAUCCUUGGCCCUAAUACGGUCGGGGGAUGACGGUACCGGAAGAAUAAGCACCGGCUAACUACGUG
rnacentral:rRNA from 1 species